rnacentral:lncRNA from 1 species
UUCAUUCCAUACGUAUGAGAGAGAGAGAGGGAAAGGAAGAGCAAAGGAGAAAAGAAGAGAAAAGAAGAAGAAGAAGAAGAAAAGAGGUAGAAGUUCUCUCUCUCCCUUUCACCCCUCUCCCUGCUGCUAAACUGGUAGUAGCAGCAGCAGCUCAGCUUAGUAGCACCAGCAGCAGCAACUGCUGGAACAGCAGUAGUAGCAGCAGCUGCUGGAGCAGCAGCAGCAGCUAGUAGUAGCAGUAGCAAUAGUAACAGCUGCAGCAGUAGCUAGUAGUAGUAGCAGCAGUAGUAACAGCUGCAGCAGCAGCUAGUAGUAGCAGCAGCAGUAGCACCAGCAGCAGCAGCUGCUGGAGCAGCAGCUCAGCCAGCAGCCAGUAGCAGCCAGCAGCAGCACCAGCAGCAGCUCAGCAGGAGCAGCAGCAGCUCAGCAGGAGCAGCUGCAGGAGUCAACAGCAGCAGCAGCAGCUAAAGCAGCAGCUGCAGCAGUCAACAGCAGCAGUAGCAGCAGCUUGCACAGCAGCAGCAGCAGCAGCAGCCAGCCAGCAGCAGCAGCCCUGCCAGCAGUAGUGCAGCAUCAGCAGCAGCUCAGCUGCAGGGGAAGCAAGAAAGAAAGAAAGAAAAGAAAAGGAAGAAAGCAAGAAAGAAAAGAAGGAAAGAAAGAAAGAAAGAAAUAAAGAAAGAAUAAGAAGAAAAAUGAAAGAAAGAAAAUGAGAUAGAGAGAAAGAUGGAAUUGAAUUAUUUGGGCAGAUUUUUGUAAUCCUUUAUUAGGGAUUGAUGUGAGACCUCUAAACUAAUUGUUUUGAGGUUCUUGGGCUAGUAAAGAGUUGAAUUACUCUAUGUAAAUUGUGAAAUUUCAUAGAAACAAGUUUCUAUAGAAACUGACCUCGAUAAUGCACUUUUGCAGGAUUGAAGUCCUAACGUGAAAUUGACCGCGCACAAACCUAAUUGAGGGUAAAACAAACGCGUUGGCAAAGUCGGUUCGGCAAUCCAUCGAGCCUACGCGAAGAUAUCGCCAAAAGAAUAUUUUCAGCUACAAUUGUCGGGAGCGCGGGUCGCGAUUCUCGGGAAAGUGCGAGAAGCGGAUUUCUCACAUUCCAGUAUCAAGUAAAGGUGGGUUGUGCUUACCGAAGUGAUUAGGUCACUUCCAUGCCAAAGUAAAGUAUGGUUUCACUUGACGCAUAUAUAAGUAUGAUUGUCGACAUAUGAAUAUUAAUGCUAAAUGACCUCUAAGAGUAUCAUAUGAAUAUGAAUGCAUGACUUGUGAAUGCUAGAGACAUGAGAAUAGAUAUAUGUGAAUGUAUUAUNUAAUCAGAUGAUGAACAUGCUAGAGGCAUAUGAAUAUAUUGUAGAUCAUGCUAGAUACAUAUAAUUGUCGAUAUAUGAACGUGAAAGCUAGAUGCAUGGUUAUGCUAAAUUCAUAGGAGCAAACAUAUGAUAUAUGAAUGUUGAACCUGUAAAUGCCAAGGGCAUGUAAACUGAAUAUGAAUUGUGAAUAUAGAUGCUAAAGCCUACAUAAUUAUUGCCACAUAAAAGUGGAAGUUUGAUGCUUAUGUCUAAACAUAUAUGAAAGUGAAUGUACUUUAGUUCAAACUAUAUGAAUGUCGAUAAUUCUAGUUGAUUAGAAAUCUCGAUGGUAAUAAGAUAAGGGAGAAUAUGUAAACUAUGAACCUCAUGUUAAAUCCCUAAGAAUUGGGUAUAAAUCGACAACUCCAAUUGAGUAGAAAUCUGGACGGUAACAAAGUAAAUGAAAAGAUGCAAAUUAUAAUCCUAGGCGUGGAUAACUAGGAUAAUGAAUAGAUCGAGUGGCAUGAACCUAGUGUUAUUCAACAUAGGUUAGACAUGAAAUAAACCUAGUGUUAUUGAACAUAGGUCGGACAUUAACCUAGGGUCAUUGGACGUGGGUCAAGUAAGUAAACCUAGAGUUGAGAUCUAGGAGAAAGAAUAUAAAACCUAGUGUAAAUGAACCUAGGUUAUGAGGUAAAGAAAUACUCAGUAAAAAUAAACUAAGUUAUGAAUUAUAGUGGUAAUACGACCACUAGAAAGUGAAUGGUAUAGACCUAGAAAGGUCGUCGACAUAGGCUAAAAGAGUAAACCCUUAAGUUGUAAAAGUGGAUUCCGGAAUCCCUAGGAAUGUGUUGUUGGCAAAAAUAGAAUCAGAACUACGGGAUCGACGGUUCUCCUCUCCCGGUAGUGAUUCAACGGGAUCGACGAUUCUCCUCUCCCGGUGUGAGCUCAACGGGUUUGACGGUUCUCCUUGCCCGUUAAGCUUGAGCGACUUACGGUCACGGGGAUCGAUGGUUCUCCUCUCCCUGUGAUGGACCUAUUGUCGCGUGGACUUAAGGCUGAGGUGCUUGUGAGACGUCCUUCACCUCGAGCCUGACUUGACGCGGUACUCCGCGGUUGAUUGACUCAAGACCGAGUCGAGUGGCUAGAUGGCUAAGGUAAAGUAACCUUAGGAAAGAAUCGCCAGUGAGCACAAUAAGAAUAGAGAAUAAAGAAUAAAGAAUAGCUAAUGAACGUGAAUAGCUAAUAAAGAAAGGAAUACUAUUGAGUAAAGAAUGGUUGAUAAUAUAAAGUAGAAUCAAAAGAUUCACUUAUGAUAGUACAUUCUUGCAUGAUUUACAUAUUGCAUAUCGCGAGGCAUACAUGUUUUAAUUUCUGCAUAAAUUAUUAUGAUUAUUUGUUGGACUAACAUGUUACAGUGCCUCCUUUGGACCUGGUGGGUCGAGCUCUUCCCUUGGGUGGCCGUACCCACUGGGAACUAUUUUAUAUAGUUCUCACCCCCGUGUUGUUUUUGGGGGUACAGGUUCGCACGUGAGCGGCGCGGCGGCGCGAGGACAGGGCGUAGCUCCGUAGAUAGCCCCCUACCACCGAGACCAGAGAUAGCGGUACCCUGAAGCAGUCUAGCUCAGAGUUCAGAAUAAAAGAAACAAACUUGUAUCAAAUUUGUAUAAGUUGUAAUAACUUAAAGGUAUUCGAAAUUUUCUAAAUGUAAAAUUUUGAGAUGAAUGCUUGUAAUAGCAUAGUUAGCAUUUUAUGUUUUUGAUACUUAUGCAAUCUAUGUUUGAAUGCUGUUCCUGGUUGGGACCUCUUCUACUGCAUCGUAUGGAUUGUGACGCCUAGGACGUACAGGAAAAGCUCUGUCCGUUCGGCGGUCUGUCGGC